AUUGAACGCUGGCGGCAGGCCUAACACAUGCAAGUCGAACGGUAGCACAGAGAGCUUGCUCUCGGGUGACGAGUGGCGGACGGGUGAGUAAUGUCUGGGAAACUGCCCGAUGGAGGGGGAUAACUACUGGAAACGGUAGCUAAUACCGCAUAACGUCGCAAGACCAAAGUGGGGGACCUUCGGGCCUCACACCAUCGGAUGUGCCCAGAUGGGAUUAGCUAGUAGGUGGGGUAAUGGCUCACCUAGGCGACGAUCCCUAGCUGGUCAGAAUGGAUGACCAGCCACACUGGAACUGAGACACGGUCCAGACGCCUACGGGAGACAGCAGUGGGGAAUAUUGCACAAUGGGCGCAAGCCUGAUGCAGCCAUGCCGCGUGUAUGAAGAAGGCCUUCGGGUUGUAAAGUACUUUCAGCGGGGAGGAAGGCGGUGAAGUUAAUAGCUUCACCGAUUGACGUUACCCGCAGAAGAAGCACCGGCUAACUCCGUGCCAGCCGCCGCGGUAA
rnacentral:rRNA from 1 species